rnacentral:rRNA from 1 species
GGCGUCCGGCACAGGUGGUGCAUGGUUGUCGUCAGCUCGUGUCGUGAGAUGUUGGGUUAAGUCCCGCAACGAGCGCAACCCCUGUCCUAUGUUGCCAGCGGGUAAUGCCGGGGACUCAUGGGAGACUGCCGGGGUCAACUCGAAGGAAGGGGGGGACAACGUCAAGUCAUCAUGCCCCUUAUGUCCAGGGCUUCACGCAUGCUACAAUGGCCGGUACAAAGGGCUGCGAUACCGUGAGGUGGAGCGAAUCCCUUAAAGCCGGUCUCAGUUCGGAUCGGGGUCUGCAACUCGACCCCGUGAAGCCGGAGUCGCUAGUAAUCGCAAAUCAGCAACGCUGCGGUGAAUACGUUCCCGGGCCUUG